CUCGGGCAGCGACAACAUCUCCUGCACGCCUCUUCAGUUGUUGGCGCAAGCAUGCGCUUGCCCGACGUCGGUUUUCCUGUGUUGAAUACCUAUCUCGAAGGCAUUCCGUCGGCUAUAAUUGUCCCGUUUCCACCCUGYGCUGCUAUUCCUUGCGGGAAGCGGCGUGGGGAGGACCUCAAGGCAKCCGCCGUGUUUUGCACCGUGCUCGCCUCUUCGGGUGUCCCGGUUAACGACCCACGGCGCGUUGCUUGAUCUCUCGGGUGCGGAACAUCACGUGGUCGAAGGCAUUAGCCUUCGAUAACCACAAAAAUAAGCGUUCUACGCUUCGUGCGAACGACGGUCGACUCGGUUUUCAGUCGUGCUCUCGUAGCUCAAUUGUUGCCGUGUCGACGUCGAUGAGGAAUGCUACCU
rnacentral:misc_RNA from 1 species